UACGGAGGGGGCUAGCGUUGUCCGAAGUUACUGGGCGUAAAGCGCGCGCAGGCGGUUUCUUAAGUCUGAUGUGAAAGCCCACGGCUCAACCGUGGAGGGUCAUUGGAAACUGGGGAACUUGAGUACAGAAGAGAAAAGCGGAAUUCCACGUGUAGCGGUGAAAUGCGUAGAGAUGUGGAGGAGCACCGGUGGCGAAGGCGGCAUCCUGGACCGACACUGACGCUGAGGAGCGAAAGCGUGGGGAGCAAACAGG
rnacentral:rRNA from 1 species